AAAAAUAUUUGGUCUCGUGCCAAAUUUACAUCUGUGUGCACCAUUGUCUGUAUUUGGUAGCUCGAGCGCGCUCCGGAAGCUCAACACUUCCAUUAGGGGCGCCUACCCUUGCGGGUCACAUCCCGCUUGGGUUGGGCUACCGCCUUUUUUUUUGAAAAACCUUUUUUGUUUUGUCUUUUUGUCUGAACGAAGAGUUGAUCUUAAUUGAUUAAUGAUUUGAAAA
rnacentral:misc_RNA from 1 species